ACGCACGCUGGCGGCGUGCUUCACCCCUGCAAGUCGAACGGAAAGGCCCUGCUUUUGUGGGGUGCUCGAGUGGCGAACGGGUGAGUAACACGUGAGUAACCUGCCCUUGACUUUGGGAUAACUUCAGGAAACUGGGGCUAAUACCGGAUAGGAGCUCCUGCUGCAUGGUGGGGGUUGGAAAGUUUCGGCGGUUGGGGAUGGACUCGCGGCUUAUCAGCUUGUUGGUGGGGUAGUGGCUUACCAAGGCUUUGACGGGUAGCCGGCCUGAGAGGGUGACCGGCCACAUUGGGACUGAGAUACGGCCCAGACUCCUACGGGAGGCAGCAGUGGGGAAUAUUGCACAAUGGGCGGAAGCCUGAUGCAGCAACGCCGCGUGCGGGAUGACGGCCUUCGGGUGGUAAACCGCUUUCGCCUGUGACGAAGCGUGAGUGACGGUAAUGGGUAAAGAAGCACCGGCUAACUACGU
rnacentral:rRNA from 1 species